GCGGGCGUAGCUCAACCGGCUAGAGCGCUGCCCUGUCACGGCAGAGGUUGCGGGUUCAAGUCCCGUCGCUCGCG
rnacentral:tRNA from 1 species